rnacentral:rRNA from 1 species
CCUACGGGUGGCAGCAGUGGGGAAUAUUGCUCCAUGGGGGAAACCCUGAUGCAGCCACGCCGCGUGAAGGACGACGGUUUUCUGAUUGUAACCUUCUGUUUUUAGUGUAGAAUACUGACGGUCGCUUAGUCGCAAGCCACGGCUCACUACGUGCCAGCAGCCGAGGUAAUACGUAGGGGGCAAGCGUUGUCCGGAAUUACUGGGUUUAAAGGGAGCGCAGGCGGGAAGACAAGGUAGCUGUGAAAACUACGGGCUUAACUUGUAGACUGCAGUUGAAACUGGUGUGCUUGAGUGAAGUAGAGGUUGGCGGAAUGCGUGGUGUAGCGGUGAAAUGCGUAGAUAUU